CCUACGGGGGGCAGCAGUGAGGAAUAUUGGUCAAUGGGCGGGAGCCUGAACCAGCCAAGUCGCGUGAGGGAAGACGGUCCUAUGGAUUGUAAACCUCUUUAGGCGGGGAGCAAUGCCGGGCACGCGUGCCCGGAGGGAGAGUACCCGCAGAAUAAGCAUCGGCUAACUCCGUGCCAGCAGCCGCGGUAAUACGGAGGAUGCGAGCGUUAUCCGGAUUUAUUGGGUUUAAAGGGUGCGUAGGCGGAUUUUUAAGUCAGCGGUAAAAUGUCCGGGCUCAACCCGGGCCGGCCGUUGAAACUGGGGAGCUUGAGUGGGCGAGAAGUAUGCGGAAUGCGUGGUGUAGAGGUGAAAUGCAUAGAUAUCACGCAGAACUCCGAUUGCGAAGGCAGCAUACCGGCGCCCGACUGACGCUGAGGCACGAAAGCGUGGGGAUCGAACAGGAUUAGAUACCCGGGUAGUC
rnacentral:rRNA from 1 species